rnacentral:tRNA from 1 species
GGAGGGGUCGCAUAGUUGGACUAGUGCGCUGGUUUGCUAAACCGGUAUACGGAUGAAAGUCCGUAUCGAGAGUUCGAAUCUCUCCCCCUCCGCCA